AGUGAACGCUGGCGGUAGGCCUAACACAUGCAAGUCGAACGGCAGCACAGUAAGAGCUUGCUCUUACGGGUGGCGAGUGGUGGACGGGUGAGGAAUACAUCGGAAUCUACUUUUUCGUGGGGGAUAACGUAGGGAAACUUACGCUAAUACCGCAUACGACCUACGGGUGAAAGCAGGGGAUCUUCGGACCUUGCGCGAUUGAAUGAGCCGAUGUCGGAUUAGCUAGUUGGCGGGGUAAAGGCCCACCAAGGCGACGAUCCGUAGCUGGUCUGAGAGGAUGAUCAGCCACACUGGAACUGAGACACGGUCCAGACUCCUACGGGAGGCAGCAGUGGGGAAUAUUGGACAAUGGGCGCAAGCCUGAUCCAGCCAUACCGCGUGGGUGAAGAAGGCCUUCGGGUUGUAAAGCCCUUUUGUUGGGAAAGAAAAGCAGCAGGUUAAUACCCCGCUGUUCUGACGGUACCCAAAGAAUAAGCACCGGCUAACCUCGUG
rnacentral:rRNA from 1 species